GGCAGGUUCCGGCCUCAAGGACGAAAUGUCACCAGUACCCUCAAGGUUGUCUUCUUCCUCCAAGUUUUUUUUUUCCCGUGUCUUGCUGAUUGUUGGGUCCUACAAGUUGUGGAGACGGCGGUCGCUCUACAGGAGGCUGGAUGUUUCGCAGUCGUUUUGGAAUGUGUGCUUGCACCUGUAGCUGUAGCUGCAACCUCUGUCCUCCAGAUCCCCACCUUAGGCAUUGGAGCUGGCCCUUUUUGCAGCGGCUAGGUCUGCAAAGGUGUGGAAAGAGCUGCAGACCGAGGUGGAUAAAUUACCUGAGGCCUGAUCUUAAGAAAGGCACAUUCUCGCAGCAAGAAGAGAACCUGAUAAUCGAACUUCAUACAGUUCUAGGCAACGACAACACCUUUGUACGAGCAGCCAGCUGAGCCAUUGAAGAGAGAGAGAGAGAGACAGAGAGAGACAGAGAGAGAGAGAGAGGAGUCUUUGCUUUGCACGUAGCUUGUGUUUGCAAAAGAGCAAGGAUUGUAGCUGUAGUGGGUUCCUAGGGCUUAAGACAGAAAUUGUUGGAUUAUAAAAGCCUGGAAAUGAAAUGUUGUAUUGAAAUUGAAAUUGAAAUGUGUACUAGAAAAGAAGGAAAAGAUUAUUGUGUGUGAAUCAUUUUAUUAUCUUUUUCUUCUAUUUGUGUAAUUAUCUGGCAUAUAAUACAAGUAGAUUAUAUACCC